GACGAACGCUGGCGGCGUGCUUAACACAUGCCAGUCGAACGGAAAGGCCCUGCUUUUGUGGGGUGCUCGAGUGGCGAACGGGUGAGUAACACGUGAGUAACCUGCCCUUGACUUUGGGAUAACUUCAGGAAACUGGGGCUAAUACCGGAUAGGAGCUCCUGCUGCAUGGUGGGGGUUGGAAAGUUUCGGCGGUUGGGGAUGGACUCGCGGCUUAUCAGCUUGUUGGUGGGGUAGUGGCUUACCAAGGCUUUGACGGGUAGCCGGCCUGAGAGGGUGACCGGCCACAUUGGGCCUAAGAGACGGCCCAGACUCCUACGGGAGGCAGCAGUGGGGAAUAUUGCACAAUGGGCGGGAGCCUGAUGCAGCAACGCCGCGUGCGGGAUGACGGCCUUCGGGUUGUAAACCGCUUUCGCCUGUGACGAAGCGUGAGUGACGGUAAUGGGUAAAGAAGCACCGGCUAACUACGUG
rnacentral:rRNA from 1 species